UACGUAGGUGGCAAGCGUUGUCCGGAUUUACUGGGUGUAAAGGGCGCGUAGGCGGGAUUGCAAGUCUGAUGUGAAAUCUAUGGGCUUAACCCAUAAACUGCAUUGGAAACUGUGGUUCUUGAGUGAUGGAGAGGCAGGCGGAAUUCCUAGUGUAGCGGUGAAAUGCGUAGAUAUUAGGAGGAACACCAGUGGCGAAGGCGGCCUGCUGGACAUUAACUGACGCUGAGGCGCGAAAGCGUGGGGAGCAAACAGG
rnacentral:rRNA from 1 species